GUGCAAAUGCAAGUAAAAAGUGUCUUCUCUUUUUCUGUCUGUCUGUUUGUGACAGUCAAGAUUGAAUGGGGGAAUACAGUG
rnacentral:snoRNA from 1 species